rnacentral:rRNA from 1 species
AGAGUUUGAUCCUGGCUCAGAACGAACGCUGGCGGCGUGCUUAACACAUGCAAGUCGUGCGCGACUGGGCUUCGGUCCAGUUGAGCGGCGAACGGGUGCGUAACACGUGGAUAAUCUGCCUUCGGGCCUGGAAUAACCUUCCGAAAGGAGGGCUAAUGCCGGAUAAGCUCACUAAGGACCUCGGUCCCGGUGGGAAAAGGUGGCCUCUAUUUAUAAGCUACUACCUGAAGAUGAGUCCGCGGCCCAUCAGCUAGUUGGCGGGGUAAUGGCCCACCAAGGCUUCGACGGGUAGCUGGUCUGAGAGGACGAUCAGCCACACUGGGACUGAGACACGGCCCAAACUCCUACGGGAGGCAGCAGUGGGGAAUCUUGCGCAAUGGGCGAAAGCCUGACGCAGCAACGCCGCGUGAGUGAUGAAGGUCUUUGGAUCGUAAAGCUCUUUCGGCUGGGAAGAAACGCCUCAUGGCUAAUAUCCAUGAGGUUUGACGGUACCAGCAGAAGAAGCACCGGCUAACUCUGUGCCAGCAGCCGCGGUAAUACAUAGGUGGCAAGCGUUGUCCGGAAUUAUUGGGCGUAAAGCGCGCGCAGACGGUCCUUUAAGUCUGAUGUGAAAGCCCACGGCUCAACCGUGGAGGGUCAUUGGAAACUGGAGGACUUGAGUACAGAAGAGGAAAGUGGAAUUCCACGUGUAGCGGUGAAAUGCGUAGAGAUGUGGAGGAACACCAGUGGCGAAGGCGACUUUCUGGUCUGUAACUGACGUUGAGGCGCGAAAGCGUGGGGAGCAAACAGGAUUAGAUACCCUGGUAGUCCACGCCGUAAACGAUGAGUGCUAAGUGUUAGGGGGUUUCCGCCCCUUAGUGCUGCAGCUAACGCAUUAAGCACUCCGCCUGGGGAGCACGGCCGCAAGGCUGAAACUCAAAGGAAUUGACGGGGACCCGCACAAGCGGUGGAGCAUGUGGUUUAAUUCGAAGCAACGCGAAGAACCUUACCAGGUCUUGACAUCCCGCUGACCGGCAUGGAGACAUGUCUUUCCCUUCGGGGACAGCGGUGACAGGUGGUGCAUGGUUGUCGUCAGCUCGUGUCGUGAGAUGUUGGGUUAAGUCCCGCAACGAGCGCAACCCUUGAUCUUAGUUGCCAGCAUUCAGUUGGGCACUCUAAGGUGACUGCCGGUGACAAACCGGAGGAAGGUGGGGAUGACGUCAAAUCAUCAUGCCCCUUAUGACCUGGGCUACACACGUGCUACAAUGGACGAUACAAAGGGCUGCGAACCCGCGAGGGGAAGCCAAUCCCAUAAAAUCGUUCCCAGUUCGGAUUGCAGGCUGCAACUCGCCUGCAUGAAGCCGGAAUCGCUAGUAAUCGUGGAUCAGCAUGCCACGGUGAAUACGUUCCCGGGUCUUGUACACACCGCCCGUC